GAUGAACGCUGGCGGCGUGCUUAAUACAUGCAAGUCGAGCGGACGGACGAGAAGCUUGUUGCGCUGAUGUUAGCGGCGGACGGGUGUGUAACACGUGGAUAACCUACCUAUAUGACGGGGAUAACCUCGGGAAUCCGGAGCUAAUACCGGAUAAUAUUUUGAACCGCAGGGUUCAAAAGUGAAAUACGGUCUUGCGGUCACGUAUAGAUGGAUCCGGGCUGUAUUGGCUAGUUGGUAGGGUAACGGGUUACCAAGGCAAGGAUGCAUAGACGAAGGCAGAGGGUGAUCGGCCACCCGGGAAGUGAGACACGGUCCAGGGUCCUACGGGAGGCAGCAGUAGGGAAUCUUCCGCAAUGGGCGAAAGCAUGACGGAGCGGCGCCGCGUGAGUGAUGAAGGUCUUCCGAUCGUAAUAAUCUGUUAUUAGGGAAAAACCUCUGUGUCAGUUGCCGAGCACAGCUUGACGGUACCUAAUCAAAAAGCCCCGGCUAACUACGUG
rnacentral:rRNA from 1 species